rnacentral:rRNA from 1 species
GACGAACGCUGGCGGCGUGCUUAACACAUGCAAGUCGAGCGGUAAGGCCCUUUCGGGGGUACACGAGCGGCGAACGGGUGAGUAACACGUGGGUGACCUGCCCUCAGCUCUGGGGAUAAGCCUGGGAAACCGGGUCUAAUACUGGAUAUGACUCCAUGACGCAUGUUGUGGGGUGGAAAGCCUUGUGCGGCUGAGGAUGGGCCCGCGGCCUAUCAGCUUGUUGGUGGGGUGAUGGCCUACCAAGGCGACGACGGGUAGCCGGCCUGAGAGGGCGACCGGCCACACUGGGACUGAGACACGGCCCAGACUCCUACGGGAGGCAGCAGUGGGGAA